UGCCUCACGUGAAUUUCACGUGAAAUGCUGUUCACGUGAAAUUCACAUGAACCUUUCACGUGAAAUUCACGUAAAUUUCAUGUGAAUUUCACGUGAAAAGUGAUUCACGUGAAAUUCACGUUAAUAUGUCCACAUGAAUUUCACGUGAAUCACUUUUCACGUGAAAUUCACGUUAAAAUAUUCACAUGAAUUUCACGUGAACAGCAAUUCACAUGAAAUUCACGUUAAAUUUUUCACAUGAAUUUCACGUGAAAAGCAUUAUAUCACUUUUCACAUUAGUUUCUUGCGAAAAUUUUAAUGUGAUUUGAUUUUCGCAAGGAAAUAAUGUGAACGUUGAUUCACGUGAAUUUCACGUGAAAAGAUUCACACGAAUUUCACGUGAAAUUUCUUCAUGUGAAAUUCACACGAACAAUUUCACACGAAUUUCACGUGAAAAGCUAUUCACGUUAAAACUUUCACAAGAAAAGCGAUUAAAGUGAAAUAUUCAGACUUCUUAAUAUAUUCAAGCGAAAAAAUAAAUAAAAUUAAGGUAAAAUAUAAAACGAUAUGGAGAUUAGGCAAUUCAAAAAUUAGAGUACAUUUAUAAAAUGUAGGCAAACGACCAAUAAAGUAGAUCCUGCUGACGCCUCCCUCUCCUCGUUUAUUUGCGAAAUUAUUAACUUGCAUUGUAGUUCUGUACGCAGUAUGAUUACAUGUACUUUCCACACCUGAUUUCUCUCAUUUCCCGUUAUUUUUUCUCUUAAGAAUUAAAAUAUAAAUUAAAUCUCCCAUCAUCAUAGAUAUUAAUGAAAGCAUAUUUUCCAACUACUUGAAGAAUCACUAUAUUGAUAGAGUUAGAAUGUGCAACUUCAAAACCACGAAAUUUUCUAAACAUGGAAAAUUACUAUUUUACAGUAAAAUCAGAAAGAACUAUGAAUUAAAACUAAUAAGACCAUUUGAAAUUUCCAUUUGUGAGAGUAGUACGUUUUAAAUAGCUAAGAAUAUUUGCCCACCCUUUAGAAAUUGAAACAGGUGAAUAUUCAAAACCAUGCAUUCCAAAAGAUUGUUGUUUUGGUCAGUUUUGUAAAACUACUGAAGAUGAGUUAAAUUUUUUAUCUCGCUGCUUUAUGAUGUUAGUAACAGGCUACUUGUCGGGGUGCACUUGGGCUGUUUACAUACAUGUGAUUUGAGGGUAGUAUUGUGCAGGUGGGAAAAAAUGCCAUGAUAUUGUUUUCCGCUGUCGUUAGUUUGGCAUCAAUUUUAAUUACCCCCCCCCCCCUCCUUAUUAGAUACAUCGAGAAUAAUUACCGGUGUGAUACCUUGGAAGCUGGUGUAUGCAUAAAGUUAGACCUACUGGAAAUUGCUGAUACACGCAUGUAGAAAUGAAAAUUUUCUAUCAGCCGUAUAGCCGUAUUCACUAUCCCGAAUUUGUAGAUCGUCAAUCAAAAGGAAAACACAGAUUUCUAGCACUCGGAAGAAAGCGAAAAACAUACUGUCCAUGCAUAUUUAGAUAACUUUUAAAAAAUAUCUAUAAAGCUUUACACUACAGUCAGAUUCCGGUAAUAUUUACAAGACUGUGACGUCACACUCGCGUAAGCCGUCUGACGCGUCUGACGUAUGCAAGACAGCGAAUGUGAAAGUACAUAGAAACUCUACAGGUAAGAUGAGAUUGAGCAUUGUAAUUAUAAAUGUUCAGUGUAAAUUCAAGCCAUUAGGCUUAUUACAUUUAUGUGAUCUAAAGUUCCUAAUGCAACCGCUUAUUUCAGACUGAUGAGAAUUACUUUAGACGGGGUACGUCAACGAAUAGGCACGACAGCGAAAAUAUGGAAGUCACUUCGGGGACGUGUCGCAGAAUCGCAUAACUCUACACGAGAUUAAAAGAAAGAGAAAAAGACAAUGAAGACAACCAUGUAAAAACAAAUUCAAUCAAUUAAAUUAUCAGCAGAUUGAAAGCA